ensembl:lncRNA
CAGCAAGCUAUUGUUAUGAGAGUCUCCCAAACCUAAAAGAGAAAAAAAUAACAGUAAUGGAGAAGAUGAGAAAACUCAUAGCUUGUAGAGUCUCGAGACAAGCAAUUAUGGAUUAAAAUAACUCAAGCAGCUUAAGCCUUCAAGCUAAAUUCUGCAUAGUACCUUUACUUUUCCCUGUGGCUUACCCCUUCAUCUGUAAGUACAGGAACUGCAAGGACAACUCAGCAGCUACUGGUGAUGCCUGGAUUUGGGUGUCUGCUGCCAUUGAUUCAUUGAUUACCUGUCAUUAUCUAUAAGCAUCCUGGAUUUCUUCUGCCCUACAGUUGUUGUUCUAUCAGUAGAUAACAGGAUGUUUAAGAUCCUCUAUGAAGAUUUGGACCUGC